rnacentral:rRNA from 1 species
AGCAGCCGCGGUAAUUCCAGCUCCAAUAGCGUAUAUUAAAGUUGUUGCAGUUAAAAAGCUCGUAGUUGAAUUUCGGGGUUAGUAGGUUGGUCAUGCCCCUGGUAUGUACUGGUCUCACUGAUUCCUCCUUCCUUAUGAACCGUAAUGCCAUUAAUUUGGUGUUGCGGGAAAUUUGGACUGUUACUUUGAAAAAUUAGAGUGUUUAAAGCAAGCUAACGCUUGAAUACAUUAGCAUGGAGUAAUGAAAUAGGACGUUCGAUCUUAUUUUGUUGGUUUCUAGGAUUGACGUAAUGAUUAAUAGGGAUAGUUGGGGGCAUUAGUAUUCAAUUGUCAGAGGUGAAAUUCUUGGAUUUAUUGAAGACUAACUACUGCGAAAGCAUUUGCCAAGGAUGUUUUCAUUAAUCAAGAACGAAAGUUAGGGGAUCGAAGACGAUCAGAUACCGUCGUAGUCUUAACCAUAAACUAUGCCAACUAGGGAUCGGAUGAUGUUAAUUUUUUAAUUGUACUCAUUCGGCGCCUU